ACCCUGUGCAGCUUCCUCCUUCCGGGUGCAGGCGGGCCUGGGCAGUCUGAGUCCUACCUCAGCCCCCACCUCACCUCCCUGCAUCCUCCUAGCAUCUCUGCAGGGCUAGCCCAGAGGUUGGCGGCGGAAGGCCCACAGCUCCCCUGGCUCCAUGGGCAAUGACCGGACAGCCCUUCACCUCUCUGGGCCUUGUUUUCUCAAACUGAAACUGGAGAGGAUGACCCCAGCCUGGGACCUUCGAGGGCCUCAAAAGGGCUCUGGGCCUUGCGUGUGUUUCUCAAAGUUACCCAAACCACAUCCCCUGGGAAGCCUGGUUCAGAUGCUCCUCCAAGAAGCCUCCCUUGAACCCCAGAUAGAAGGGAGCAUCACUCCUGUGACCUCACCCCACCCCAUCCUCUAUACGCUCGAGACUGUUGUAGCCGUACUAGGUGCUAUGAAGGGGAGGGGAUUUGACCUCGGCAGGAUGAUCAGGGAAGGCAUCCUGGAGUACGCAUGAGAUCAGGGAUGGCUGGGUUGACAGGGCAAAGUGGAAAGGAAGGGAGGGUAUUCCAGGCAGCAGGAACAGAAUGUACGACUGCUCUGAGGCAGCUGGAAGCAUGGUCAGCAAAAAGAUUGGAAAUUAUGCAUGUUUUAUCUAUUCCAAGAUGCUUAAUGUUCACGUUUCACUUUUUGUUUUGUUUUGUUUUUAAGAGAGUCUGAAUCUGUGACCUAGUCCGGAGUGCAGUUGCAAGAUCACAACUCACUGCAACUUCAACCUCCUGGGCUUAAGCAAUUCUCCUACUUCAGCCUUCUGAGUAACUGGGACUACGGGUGUGUGCCACCACACCUGGCUAAUUAUUUUGCUUGUUUUUUGUACAGACAGAGUCUUGCUGUGUUGCCCGGGCUGGUCUCGAACUCCUGGGCUCAAGUGAUCCUCCCGCCUUGGCCUCCUGAAGGGCUGAGAUGACGGCAUGAGCUGCCUCACGCAGCCCCCAUUCUACACCUCUGAAGUGAGUUUACAUGGUACAGUUGCUGUCUGGCUAGCUGCCGUCCCAACAUCACUGUCAGGACCCACACCUGAAAAGCACCAGCAUCAAAUCCUUCAGAAGAGUGUCAGCAGCUUGGAAGAAAUCCUAGAGGCUGGACGAUGAAUGUGAUGGCUGGAACUCAAGCAGCCACAGUGGGUCAUAAGGGACGGUGUCUUGCUAUGUUGUCCAAGCUGGUCUCAAACUGGCCUGAAUCAAUGCUUCCACCUCAGCUGCCAGAGGAACCGGGAUUACAGGCCUGAGCCACUGCAGCCAGCCAGUUUGUUAUUUUAAUGUAAAUUCUUAGUAAACAACUCAGGAACUCUCUUGUCCUUUUAAAAUCCAUUUCAACUGCUGCUAAUCGGAGUGUAUAUUCAGGGCAACUUGAAUCUGUGCUCCUGGGAUGCAAUCCUCAAGCUUGGCCCAAAUAAAGUCUCCGCUGAUAUUAA